rnacentral:rRNA from 1 species
GACGAACGCUGGCGGCGUGCUUAACACAUGCAAGUCGAACGAAGUGGAGAACGGGUGAGUAACGCGUAAUCAACCUGCCCUUCAGAGGGGGACAACAGUUGGAAACGACUGCUCAUACCGCAUACUGAAGGAGGGGAUUGCGUCUGAUUAGCUAGUUGGAGGGGUAACGGCCCACCAAGGCGAUGCUCGGUAGCCGGUCUGAGAGGUUGAACGGCCAAAUUGGGACUGUGACACGGCCCAGACUCCUACGGGAGGCAGCAGUGGGGAAUCUUCCGGAAUGGACGAAAGUCUGACGGAGCAACGCCGCGGGAGGGAUGACGGCCUUCGGGUUGGAAAGCUCUGUUAAUCGGGACGCGGUACCGGAAUAGAAAGCCACGGCUAACUACGUGCCAGCAGCCGCGGUAAUAC